rnacentral:tRNA from 4 species
AGAAAGUUAGUCUAGCCAAGAUA